AUUCAGAUGAUGAGUCUCAAACAGGACGGAACGCGCGUCAAAUUGAAU
rnacentral:hammerhead_ribozyme from 1 species